rnacentral:snoRNA from 1 species
CCCUUCUCAGGAUCGCAUCUGGAGAGUUUCCAGUACUCUACCAGUCUCGGCUAUGGGAGGGAGAGUGAAGCAGAGGCAUAGCCUUUCCAUUCCUAGCUUGGGCAGUGGCUAGUGACUUGGGCAGUGGCUAGUGAGUGGAAGGCAAUCUGCUACCCGU